rnacentral:rRNA from 1 species
GAUGAACGCUAGCGGCAGGCUUAAUACAUGCAAGUCGAGGGGCAUCGCGGGUAGCAAUACCUGGCGGCGACCGGCGCACGGGUGCGUAACGCGUAUGUAAUCUACCUUUAACCGGGGAAUAGCCCAGAGAAAUCUGGAUUAAUGCCCUAUAGUAUUAUUGAAAGGCAUCUUUCGAUAAUUAAAGCUCCGGCGGUUUUAGAUGAACAUGCGUGUCAUUAGUUAGUUGGCGAGGUAACGGCUCACCAAGACUACGAUGACCAGGGGGUCUGAGAGGAUGAGCCCCCAGACUGGUACUGAGAGACGGACCAGACUCCGGCGGGAGGCAGCAGUAGGGAAUAUUGGGCAAGGGAGGCAGCUCUGACCCAGCCAUGCCGCGUGAAGGAUGGCGGCCCUCGUGGUUGUAAACUUCUGUUGUACGGGAAUAACCCUCCGAACGUGUUCGGAGCUGAAGGUACCGUAAGAAUAAGGAUCGGCUAACUCCGUGCCAGCCGCCGCCGCUGUAA